rnacentral:tRNA from 1 species
GGUAGAAUGGCUGAAUAUAGGCGGUAAAUUGUAAAUUUAUUAAUGGGAAUUGAAUCCCUUCUAUUA